ACACCUUGGCAGGGGAGAUACCAUGACGACAAAGGUGGUUUUUCNGGGGUGAGCCUCAUCCAUUGCCUUCAGGAUGAGCUGACCCCUGGGAUUUCCCCCAAAUUCUGGAAACUCGGCUGCAUAAUCUGUGGUAGUAGGGGACAGUGCUUGCAUUCUCCCUUG
rnacentral:snRNA from 1 species